CUUUGUUUAAGCAUUCUGCUGAUUAACGAAAUUGUUUUGUUGGAGUCAUUUGCCGGUCGGACUAGGUAUCCAUCUGUCUUUCUUUGUUCAAGAAUCAGUGUAACUCCAAUAAGAAAUUUAUAGGGUAAUUCACCUUACGAAGACAGCAACAACCGGAUACUUCCGACAUACCAACUACUGCUUAGAAACACCAGAUCAAAUAAACCUAAGCUGAGCUAUGAUAUUGUGCUUAAAUACCAAGUCUGACUUCAGUUGACUAAUGUUUGGUUGAAUUUUAUGCUUUAACAGUAGUUAUUUCUCAUAGUGCUGGUUGGAGUUUCUUAGCUUUGUUGUCAUAAUUAUUUCUUACAGGAAAUUUAGGUUGUAGAACUCGAGCUUUUAUAUAAUUAAAGAGGAAGAAUAGAGAUUGGAGAAAAAAACAAAGAAAAUAACAAAAUAAAGGCCAACAAGGAGAAUGGAGGAAUCUAUAGAAACAAUUCUUCUCCACCUACUGCAGAGAUUGUUGAGAAGAAGAACCGAAGUUCGUUGAGACAAAUAGGUUAAAACUUUCAUCCAAGUUAUAAACCAAAUCACCAAAUUCAGCAAUGGAGGACGGAGAACUUAAUUUCUCAACCCAUGAAAUGUUUCAAGCUGCAAACAUCAAUUUUGAUAGAUAGGGGUGCAAGUUUAAGCGUUGAAAAUGCUAAUGGCCGGUGGUGAAAAUAUUCUAAAGGUUACACCUCGAGAGUAUAACCGGCUAUCUCCUCCAAGAAUGACCUCCGAUGAUGUCACAACUUUCUCUACAUUCUACCCCUAAAUAUGAGAAUAGAAAAUGGGCUACAUGCAAAAAAUAGUGCUCUACUUUUUUUUUUCUCUUUAUAGCUUAUUUUUCUCAUUAUAACAUUGUACUUUUGGUUUUUCUUAUUAUUUAAUUCUUUACCAAAACACAAACUACAUUUCUAUUUGUUGCGUUUUUUUCAUAUUUAGAUGGUAAAUACACUAAAUAGCAAUGUACUACUCAUUUAAAUGUUUUUGUUUAUGUUUUUUUGUUCAAUUUCUUAUUAUUUAUAUUUUUACCCAAAACCAUAUCACAUUUCCAUUGGGUUCAUGUGAAGUACAAAGAAAGAUUGUCGGGCAAAUCUAUACGUGUGGAACCGAAUCAUGAAGAGUUGAACCGGAUUCAUCCAAAUGCCCUUCAUUCGGCUAAUGGCAAGUGGGUUUUUGGUAGGUGGUGGAUUUUGGCAUAUUUUAAAACAAAAUACUAAAAUAGCAUUAUAACAUCCUACUUUCGUCACCCGCCAAACAUCAACAAAAUAUUCGACCCGUGUGUUCAGUAAAUUUGUUUGUUCUGAACCCCGCAGAGCGGGGUUUCCCACCUAGUUUAAUCUUAUUAUUAUCCUAGAAUUUAAAAUUAAU